GCUGAUAUGGCCGAGUCGUUAAGGCGAGUGAUUUGAACCGCAGGUCGAGGGUUCGAACCUGGCGAAUAUCACUUGGAGUUUCUCCGCGUAGGUUCAAAUCCUGCUGUCAGCG